rnacentral:rRNA from 1 species
AACAAACGCUGGCGGCGUGCUUAAUACAUGCAAGUCGAACGAGGAAGUCCCUUCGGGGAUUGUACUAGUGGCGCACGGGUGAGGAACGCGUGGAUAAUCUUCCUUAGAGUGGUGAAUAACUAGUCGAACGAUUAGCUAAUACCGCAUAAGACCACAGGAUCUUCGGAUCGAGGGGUUAAAGGAGCAAUUAGCUCUAAGAUGAGUCUGCGCCCGAUUAGCUAGUUGGUGAGGUAAUGGCUCACCAAGGCGACGAUCGGUAGGUGGUCUGAGAGGACGGCCACCCACACUGGGACUGAGACACGGCCCAGACUCCUACGGGAGGCAGCAGUAGGGAAUAUUGCACAAUGGAGGAAACUCUGAUGCAGCGACGCCGCGUGAGUGAUGAAGGCCUUCGGGUUGUAAAGCUCUGUUCUCAGGGAAAAAGAAAGUGAUUGUACCUGAGGAGAAAGGACCGGCUAACUUCGUGCCAGCCGCCGCGGUAA